rnacentral:rRNA from 1 species
UACGUAGGGUGCAAGCGUUAAUCGGAAUUACUGGGCGUAAAGCGUGCGCAGGCGGUUCGCUAAGACAGGUGUGAAAUCCCCGGGCUUAACCUGGGAACUGCAUUUGUGACUGCAUAGCUAGAGUACGGUAGAGGGGGAUGGAAUUCCGCGUGUAGCAGUGAAAUGCGUAGAUAUGCGGAGGAACACCGAUGGCGAAGGCAAUCCCCUGGACCUGUACUGACGCUCAUGCACGAAAGCGUGGGGAGCAAACAGG